rnacentral:rRNA from 1 species
UACGUAGGGUGCAGGCGUUAAUCGGAAUUACUGGGCGUAAAGCGUGCGCAGGCGGUCUUUUAAGUCAGAUGUGAAAUCCCCGGACUUAACCUGGGAACUGCGUUUGAAACUGGAAGGCUAGAGUGUGGCAGAGGGGGGUGGAAUUCCACGUGUAGCAGUGAAAUGCGUAGAGAUGUGGAGGAACACCGAUGGCGAAGGCAGCCCCCUGGGCUAACACUGACGCUCAUGCACGAAAGCGUGGGGAGCAAACAGG